rnacentral:lncRNA from 1 species
GGGGGGCGGAGUGUGCGGGCAGGAGGGGUGUGGGUGGGAGAGGGCUCUUCCUUCCUCCUGUGUGGGGACCUGGACGGAUGCACGCCCCACGCCCCGCGCUGCAGCUGGCUGCAGAAAGAGCUCGGCAGCCAGAGCCUUAGAAAGACGCCCCAUGCCCUUGGAAGCUAAGUGGAUGGAACCCCCCCUGCCAGCACUUGGAGUUCCCAGCUAAGUGGCGGGGGCGGCUCACCCCGGGCCAUGGGCUCGAUGCGUCUGAGUCCAGCAGGGCCUGGGAAGGGAGCCCGGUGUGCCGCCCUAAGGAGACUCUAGCAACGCGGAGGCAGGAUCCCUGUUUCCUGCUGCGGAACCUGAGGCCCGGGCACGGGCAGUGCCUUCCCCUGGGUCACAGCUGGGCUGGAGCUGAGGACUGUGCCGCCCCUGCGCCUCCCUGCAGGUGCCCUCCUCGGGGUCCUCAGAGCCCCUGGGGGCUCCCUCCCGCUGAGCAGCAGAAACGUGGUAUCUCCUGAGACUGUCAAGUCGUUUUAGAGCCCCUGGCCUGAUGGCCUUCUCACCACCCGCCACCACAUGCAAUCCUCAUCAGACCACCUGCUUUUGAAAAAGAAUAUUCCUUCUCGAUGACCACAUCUACGGUGUGAAUUCCAUUUAAUAUAAGAGCAUUAAUUAUUGAUAUUUAUGGCAUUAGGCUUGCCUCUUUAUGUGAAGAGCUCAAAAGCACUCCAUUGGUGUCUCUUGUCCUGUGCCUCAGCAGACGGCCGUCUGCAGCUAGACGUAUGUUUGCUAACUCCAUUUAUUUUCCUUCAAUAAAUGCUUCCAGGGAUAGUUUUUCUGUUGGUGACUUUACAGAGUUUUUUUCCACUGAUGACCUUCCUCCCCAUGAAUGAUCCUUAAAGUUCCCCACAUCGCCACCCUCCUCCUGGGUUAUACAGUGUACUCAACCCCAACGCCCACCCAUUAAGAGCUUGCUACAGUGGCUUUUAGAGUUGGUUCCCCUUGUUUUCUCCACCAUGUUUGACUCUGCCUUCGGCCUCCUGUGCCUUCUGAGAUGCCCCCACAAAAGCCACUGGCAGCCACUUGUCCCCUUCUAGUCCCCAUGAGUGGCCAUGCUACCUCCUUUUCAGCACAGACAAAAUGUUUUCUUCCCUAACACUGAAUAGAAGGCAGAAUUUGCAGAGUGUAUUAUUCCCAG